rnacentral:rRNA from 1 species
AUCUCUAAUAGUGUAUAUUAAAGUUGUUGUAGUUAAAAAGCUCUUAGUUUGAUGUCUGAUGGGAGCAAUCAGUAUGGCACUUUGUAUCGUAGCUUGCAUUGUCUCUAGCCAUCCUCGGAAAUAAUUAGCCUGGCAUUAAGUUGUCGGGCUGAAGAUUUCCAUCCUUUACUGUGAAAACAGUUGAGUGUUCAAAGCAGGCUUAAGCCGUUGAAUAUAUUAGCAUGGAAUAAUGAUAUAGGACUUUGGUACUAUUUUGUUGGUUUACGUGCCAUAGUAAUGAUUGACAGGAACAGUUGGGGGUAUUUGUAUUCCAAUGUCAGAGUUGAAAUUCUUGGAUGUUUGGAAGACAAACUACUGCGAAAGCAUUUACCAAGGAUGUUUUCA